rnacentral:rRNA from 1 species
UGGGGAAUAUUGGACAAUGGGCGCAAGCCUGAUCCAGCCAUGCCGCGUGAGUGAUGAAGGCCUUCGGGUCGUAAAGCUCUGUGGGGAGGGACGAAACACCUCGACCUAAUACGUCGGGGCUUGACGGUACCUCCUUAGCAAGCACCGGCUAACUCCGUGCCAGCAGCCGCGGUAAUACGGGGGGUGCAAACGUUGCUCGGAAUUAUUGGGCGUAAAGCGCACGUAGGCGGUCUACUAAGUCGGGUGUGAAAGCCAUGGGCUCAACCCAGGAAGUGCAUUCGAAACUGAUAGGCUUGAGUACGGAAGAGGGUCUCGGAAUUCCCGGUGUAGAGGUGAAAUUCGUAGAUAUCGGGAGGAACACCAGUGGCGAAGGCGGAGACCUGGGCCGAUACUGACGCUGAGGUGCGAAAGCGUGGGGAGCAAACAG